GGGGCUGAUUCUGGAUUCGACGGGAUUUGCGAAACCCAAGGUGCAUGCCGAGGGGCGGUUGGCCUCGUAAAAAGCCGCAAAAAAUAGUCGCAAACGACGAAAACUACGCUUUAGCAGCUUAAUAACCUGCUUAGAGCCCUCUCUCCCUAGCCUCCGCUCUUAGGACGGGGAUCAAGAGAGGUCAAACCCAAAAGAGAUCGCGUGGAAGCCCUGCCUGGGGUUGAAGCGUUAAAACUUAAUCAGGCUAGUUUGUUAGUGGCGUGUCCGUCCGCAGCUGGCAAGCAAAUGUAAAGACUGACUAAGCAUGUAGUACCGAGGACGUAGGAAUUUCGGACGCGGGUUCAACUCCCGCCAGCUCCACCA
rnacentral:tmRNA from 1 species